rnacentral:misc_RNA from 1 species
GUGUGGAUGGUGGCUGGAUGUUUGCACCAUUAGAAUGUUUGGGAAGUCGAUCACACAAAGGGUGGAAUUUUUUUCAGUAUCUCCAUUGGCAAGCUCAUUAGUUCAUUGGGUUGUAGGAAUUGUCUACAUGCUACAAAUAAGUAUCUUUGUUAGCCUUCUUCGAGGGGUCUUGCGUAAUGGGGUGCUUUACUUUCUUCGAGAUCCAGCAGAUCCCAACUACAACCCGUUCCGUGAUUUGAUUGAUGAUCCUGUACAUAAGCAUGCUCGUCGAGUUCUUUUGUCUGUUGCUGUCUAUGGAAGCUUAAUAGUGAUGCUCGUGUAUCUGCCUGUCAAACUUGCCAUGCGAAUGGCUCCAUCCAUUUUCCCACUUGAUAUCUCUGUAUCUGAUCCAUUUACUGAAAUACCUGCUGACAUGCUUCUCUUCCAAAUCUGUAUUCCCUUUGCGAUUGAGCAUUUUAAGUUGCGUACAACAAUCAAAUCUCUGCUCCGAUAUUGGUUUACUGCAGUGGGCUGGUCUCUUGGUCUAACUGAUUUCUUACUGCCCCGACCUGAGGAUAAUGGUAGACAAGAGAAUGGAAAUGGUGACCAAGGAAGGCAGGACAGGUUUCAAGCUCCGCAUGGUGUACCAGAUCGGGCCUUGGUAGGGUUUGCUCCUGAUAACAGAGCUAGGCAUGCAGCAGCUAGUUCCAACUUCGUAGAAGACUAUGACAAUGAAGAACAGGCGGAUCCCGACAGGUACGCCUUUGUGCUCCGUAUUGUGCUGUUGCUUGUUGUGGCGUGGAUGACUCUCCUACUUUUUAAUUCUGCCCUCAUCAUCGUACCGAUUUCACUUGGACGUGCGCUCUUCAAUUCCCUCCCAUUGCUUCCAAUAACUCAUGGAAUCAAGUGCAAUGAUUUGUAUGCAUUUGUAAUUGGAAGUUAUGCAAUUUGGACUGCCAUUGCUGGAGCGAGGUACUCAAUCGAUCAAGUUAGAACUAGGAGGGUUGCAGCUUUGAUGAACCAAAUAUGGAAAUGGUGUGUCAUUGUUCUGAAGAGUUCUGCACUGUUGUCAAUAUGGAUAUUUAUUAUUCCUGUGUUAAUUGGUCUGCUUUUUGAACUUCUGGUCAUUGUGCCAAUGCGAGUCCCCAUUGAUGAAAGUCCAGUCUUCCUUCUUUAUCAAGAUUGGGCUUUAGGACUAAUCUUUCUAAAGAUCUGGACCAGGCUGGUUAUGCUAGAUCAUAUGAUGCCACUGGUCGAUGAGAGCUGGCGACUGAAAUUUGAGAGGGUGAGGGAGAAUGGUUUCUCUAGGUUGCAAGGCUUUUGGGUGCUUCGGGAGAUAGUCCUUCCUAUCAUCAUGAAGCUGCUUACAGCAUUGUGUGUUCCAUACGUUUUGGCCAGGGGUGUGUUCCCAAUACUUGGUUACCCUUUGCUUGUGAACUCUGCCGUUUACCGAUAUGCUUGGAUUGGGUGUCUUGGUUUCAGUCUCUUCUGUUUCUGUGCAAAGCGUUUCCACGUAUGGUUCACCAAUCUCCACAAUUCAAUACGCGAUGACCGUUAUUUGAUUGGUCGAAGACUUCAUAAUUUUGGGGAAGAGGUACUUCAGAGGCAUAAUGAAGUAGAGGUGGGUGGAGAGGGCGAGAUCCCUCUACUGAAUGGGGAUGUCGAGGAGGUUGCUGAUAUAGGACUAAGACACAGGCGUGGUAUUAUGCAAGAUGCUUGAAGUCUGUACCAGACAUGAUCCUCAGCUGCUCAAUAAGGUUUAUGGAGGUGGAGGGGGGGGGUAAGGUUAGGCUGAACAAAUUGCAAAAUGGAUUAUUGUUAUUUUGCUUCUCAGAAGUAGAGAAACCAACUUGUAUUAGUUCUGAGCAGUUUCUCUAUCAGUAAUAUUUACUACUUGUGAAUAUGUACUCUUUUUACUUGGUGCUGACAUAA